AGCAAAUCUUGACAUUUUUUUUUAGUAACAUAUAUUCUAUCCUCCACUUAAUCAUGGGUCAUAUCUCUGCUCUAUAUAUAAGUGCCAGUCUCAUACCCAUUUUUUAUAUCAUCAGUUUAAAUAAUACCCUCUUGUCAUAGAGCACUCUGAAACUUUUCUUCAGUUUAGCCAUUUUGCUUGUGUCCUGUUUACUACCUCAUAUUUCUUACUGCUGUUUUGACUAACAUAGAAAUCAAAGUAUUUAAACUUUCUGCUAUUGGAGUAUCAACAUUCUGUAGUCUUAUGCUUUAUAAAUCAUUUUCACCAUAUCUCAUAUAUCCCAUCUUAUUCCUGCUCACUUUCAUCCUAUCUCAAACCUUUCUCUAUUAUUUUAUUCCUUCAAUUUCAUUUCUGGUGCUUGAGCAGAAUAUUAUCACUUGGGUCAGAACCAAACUUUGAUGUACUUCAUCUCUAUCAGUAAAGUCUCUAUGAAACCAAUUCUCCAUCUUAUUCAUAUCUUACAAUUCACAUACAUAUUCUGAAUUAAACAUAUUUUUCAGAGAUCAUCUUUUUCCUUAAAGCAUUGUCGUAACUCAUUUGUUAGGAUCCUCUAUUCCUUCUCAAGAUCAAUAAAAAUAAAUGUGAACUCUUCCCCCAUUCUGUAUUUCUUAAUGAAUUGCCUCAAAGUAAAUUGGCAUAAGUGAUACCUUUUAACUAUAAAUGACUAUAAAUGAUACCUUUUGUAGGCAUAAAAUAAAACUGUUAUUGCAAAUCUCCACUUCUACUCUCAUUUCCUUCUCUGUCAAUCUCUACCAAGUUUUCAUAAUACGACUUAUCAAUUUAUAUCCCCUUGUAAUUUUUGCAAUUGGUAUAGUUGUAUAUCCUUUUUUUUCUUAUAAAUUGGAAACAAAACAUUUAGCCUCUGCUCUGUGGGCAUCUCCUCAGUAAUCAUAAUAUUGUUAAUCCACUGAAUGCUUUUGCCAUCAAUAGACAUCAAGAUGGUGGAACAAAAAGAGAUAAAAAAACAAAUAAAUAAAGCAAUAUAAAACAUUCAAUCUUGAUUUUAUUAAUCCAGCUUUUGUAAAUUGGCUUUUUUGUGUGUAAUCAGUGAAAAUAUGCCAUUUUGAUGAUGGGUCCUAAAUUUUUUUUAGUUGUAUAAUAAUUCAUCCUACUGUUAAUAAUAUACGAAAAAUGAUUACAGC
rnacentral:lncRNA from 1 species